rnacentral:rRNA from 1 species
UUUUAACGGAGAGUUUGAUCCUGGCUCAGGACGAACGCUGGCGGCGUGCCUAAUACAUGCAAGUCGAGCGGACAGAAGGGAGCUUGCUCCCGGACGUUAGCGGCGGACGGGUGAGUAACACGUGGGCAACCUGCCCCUUAGACUGGGAUAACUCCGGGAAACCGGAGCUAAUACCGGAUAAUCCCUUUCUCCACCUGGAGAGAGGGUGAAAGAUGGCUUCGGCUA